AGGAUACAGAGAUGCAAAUUUAUAUCGUGGAGGCAUCUUUAUCAAAUAUUCAGGCCUGAAUAGAUUAUGAGAACUCUUACAAUAUUGACAAUGAAUAUAUCUGUAGAAGACAUAUAAAUGCAAAAAAAAAUAUAAUUUAAACUUAUCAAAUAGUACUAAGUGAGGUUGCAGUACAAGUGCAAUGCAUUUGAAUAGAAGAGACUUCUAAUUGUAGACUGUAAUCACGGUUGUAUGUUAUUACUUAAUGAGAAGAGACUUCUCCAUGGAGGGCAUUCAAACCAAAUCCAUUGUUGACAAUCUUGGGUUCAAUACCAAAAGUAGUAAUCAGGAAAGAAACAUAUCACGAAUUCAUCCAUAAUUCACUUAAGAGGAAGUGAAAGCAGCUUGAUAAUUAUUAUAACCCUGAGUUAUAUAAACCUAUAUAGUUCACGGGAAAAGUCUUCAAAUAUAAACCUACAUGUGAUAGAUUAGGGCUCAUUCUUUUAAACCAACAUCAACCCCAUUAUUAACUUACUCUAGCAGUCUAGCACUGGAGGGUGGAUGUCCGAUAAUCGGCAACUGGAAAACGAAGAUUGCCGUCGGCGAUUUGAGAGAAAAUUGGUGGGAGGGAGAUUAGGGCUCGUUGCCGGCUUUGAGGCGGGAGUGAAGAAGUGAG
rnacentral:lncRNA from 1 species